UCCGAAUUCGUCGACAACCUGGUUGAUCCUGCCAGUGAUCAUAUUCUCAGAUCAAAGACUAAGCCAUGCAUGUCCAAGACUAAACAAGUUGUCAGUGAAUCUGCGUAUGGCUCAAUAAACGAACCAUAACCUCCCCGAGAACAAAGUACAACUGGAUAACCGUUGUAAUUCAAGGGCUAAUCAUGCGUCAAUAAGGGCCUCUUCUCUGGGCGCCCUUGCAUUUGUUAGUCUCAAAUCAACAUCGUUGAUGAAUCAUGACAAACUGCGGAUCCUCAUGUUGCAACAUACGGAGGAUGACUCGGUCGGGUCUUUCCCCUAUCAGGUCUCGUAGGGAGUGUAUUGUACUCUCUAGCCUUUGACGGGUAACGGAGAAUUAGGGUUCGAUUCCGGAGAAGGAGCCUGAGAGACGGCUACUACAUCUAAGGAAGGCAGCAGGCGCGCAAAUUUCCCAAUGCUCAUCGAGCGAGGAAGUGACGAUCAAUAAUAAUGUGUGGCGCAUUCGCGCUAUGCAAUUACAAUGAGUAAAAUGUACAAGCGUUUUCCAUGAUCAAUUGGAGGGCAAGUCUGGUGCCAGCAGCCGCGGUAAUUCCAGCUCCAAUAGGAUAUAUCAAAGUUGUUGCAGUUGAAAAGCUCGUAGUCGUAUUUGUGGUGGGUAGAAGCCUGGGUUCCUGCGGUGAGCGCGAAAGCGUUUACCCAGCUCUGGCCGCCUGCCAUUUUGUGGGACAAAGCAGGGCUUGCGCGCGGCUUCACUGCUCGUCGCGAGCCAGGCUCCACUCCGUCACUGAGAGCAAAUUGGAGUGCUCAAAGCAGGCUUUACAGCUUUGAACAUCUUAGCUUGGAAUGACAAAGUACGACCUUUGGUUCACUUUGUUGGUUAUGAACAUAGAGGUAAUGAUAAAUAGGAACAGUUGCGGGGACACUCGUACUGGAAAGUCAGAGGUGAAAUUCUUGGAUUUUUCCACGACGAACGACUGCGAAGGCAUCUGUCCAGGAUGUUUUCAUUGAUCAAGAACGAAAGUGCGAGGAUCGAAGAUGAUUAGAUACCAUCGUAGUUCGCACAGUAAACGAUGCCGACUCGGGAUUGGGUUCGUUUCGCAACGCGCCGUAACUGGCGCGCAUUAGAAAGACCCCAGCACCGUAUGUGAAAACAAAGUCUUUGGGUUCCGGGGGGAGUAUGGUCGCAAGGUUGAAACUUAAAGGAAUUGACGGAAGGGCACACCAGAGGUGGAGCCUGCGGUUUAAUUUGACUCAACACGGGGAAACUCACCAGGUCCAGACAUGAGAAGGAUUGACAGUUUGAAAGCACUUUCUUGAUUUCAUGGUUGGUGGUGCAUGGCCGUUCUUAGUUGGUGGAGUGAUUUGUCUGGUUGAUUCCGAUAACGAACGAGACUCUCAGAGUAAACUGGCUUGUCAGCGGUAACUCGCGUUACCCUGGGCCUCUUUUCUCGACAAUUCGUUUUAAACGAAAGGAAGCGGAGAGCAAUAACAGGUCUGUGAUGCCCCUCGAUGUUCUGGGCUACACGCGCGCUACAAUGACGAGUUCAACGAGUUUUCUCCUUGCCCGGAAGGGUGUGGGUAAUCUUUUCAAUGCUCGUCGUGAUGGGGCUAGAUUAUUGUAAUUAUUAAUCUUCAACGAGGAAUCUCUUGUAAGUGCAGUUCAUCAGACUGCGCUGAAUGCGUCCCUGCCCUUUGUACACACCGCCCGUCGCACCUACCGAUUGGACGAUCCGGCAAGAUGUUUGGAGUUGUGCUGCCCAGGACUUUCGGGUCCUUCGCUGGCGCGACGAAGCUCCUCAAACCUUAUCGUCUAGAGGAAGGUGAAGUCGUAACAAGGUCUCUGUAGGUGAACCUGCAGAAGGAUCAAGCUUGGAUCCCGGGA
rnacentral:rRNA from 1 species